GUCCAGCAUAUCGCGCACCUCGUCGGCUGUGAACGUCUCCUCCACCAGCCUUUGGACGCAAGCGCACACGCACACACACACACACACACUGUAGUCCAUCUGAACCCCGGCAGGAUAGCAGAAAAUGGCUAGUAUGCAGGCUCCCUCUAUUGGUGCGCUCCAUCUGACACGCCCACCUGCUGUCUUUGAGUUCUUCAAAACAGGAAUCCACAGUUUUGAGCCGCAACAAGCGUUUGGAUCGAGCGAAGCGCAUGUAGUUGAUCACUUCAUUCUGAUGAUGCUCAUUACCCCCGAAUUCAGCCUAGGGAAGGAGGGACGGACGGACAACAGGAGUAUCUCAGAACUGUGAGGCAGAUGUGUCCACCACUGGUUCGGGGUGCCGCAAAUGCUCAUUUUGUUAUAUUGGUGAACAUUUUCAACGUUGAUCUAUUCAUGAUUGUGUUGACGUGCAUAAUUUGACAAAAUGUUACUUGUUUUUCCACAGUAUCUUCGACGGGGGGGAAAAGUCUAAAUUAUUUCUGUGGAAGUCGACGCAGAACACUGCUGGGCGGGGCCACCGUUUCAAGGCUCGGAUGAAUUAAAACAAAUCCCAGGAGGGUGGAAACUGCUAACACGGCUAACAGAAUCAAGCGACGACAAGCCCAGACAGCCAAAUUGAAAGCAGCAAUAGGCCCUCGACAAGACCAACAGCAGGCGCUUGAGGCAAGAAUUUACGAAAUGGCUACUCGCGCUUAUUCCGAACAACAAAUAAUGAAAAGAGUCACUUACCAUGUUGGCUGCGGAGCUCACGUUAUCGUCGCUUAUACUUCUGCUGAGGGCUAAAAUGCAAGGAAAUGGAUAAUGUGCGGCUAAUAGAAACUAGAUUUGGGGAAAAAAUAAACAACACUGCACUUGCGUUACUGCGACCGGGUUAAGAUCAUGGCAAUAUCGUUUAAGCAAAUACUCUGACUCGGCAAAGACUAAAUAAGUGAUUUCGCGAUGGUUGUGGAAAGAUAAUGAGUCCGAUUGGUCAAGCUAGCAGUGAAGCUAACUAAGCGUUUGCAAGAGAACACGUCGGUAACCAAGCGUCAUUGCCUUGGUUACGAGCGGUGCGUUCAGGGUAGCUCCGUAAACCAUACUACCCUAUAGCAAUGACGCCAAUGUCGUAUUUUUUACCAAUACAUACAGUAUAUUCAAUUAUGUGCAUAUUUACAUGUUAUCAAAAGGAAAUAUUAUUCAGCAUUAUCAGUCUCUAUAUUUAAAUAUUUCACAUCCAUAAGCGUAAUUUCAAAAACAGCGAAGCCACCGAAUCUUUCAAAUGCAUUACAAAAAGGGAAGUUGUUUUUCAAACCGUAAUUAUCACGGGAAUUAAUGAAGUUUGUCUCAAGCUUCUUUCUUGCUUUCUGUUCACAUUAAUAUUUUUGUUAAUAACCCGCUUUUGCUUCAAUAAACUGGAAUUACUGUU